UAGCUUAGUUGGUAGUGCGUCUGCCUUGUAAGCGCUAGGGCGCGGGUUCGAUUCCCGC
rfam:Asian citrus Psyllid, Diaphorina citri - Florida Strain, whole genome shotgun sequence.